rnacentral:lncRNA from 1 species
AUGAUAUAUAAUUAUUUUUGUUUUAGCCGGUGUAAUAUGAGAGUGACUGUUUCACUGGACGGUGGCUGCCUUGAUUUUAUAUUGAAUAGUACAACUUCAUGAUCUUCACUUUGCACUUUAGCGGUGAUAGAUAGUGCUCAUUCAAAGAAAAAUAAAUUAUCUGAAUUUGAGUUUAUAUAUUCAAAUACGGUCCUUUUAGAAUCAAAAUUAAACUUUGAGGUUGAGUUUUUAAUUUGAUAUUGAUGGCAGCAUUGAUGACCUUUGUAUCGUCUAUGCAUACACUAUAACCUUAUAUUAGGGUAUUUGGUUAUGUUGGAUUUUGGAAUCUAGGUUAGACUUUAGAGGAGUGUGGUUUGUUAUACAGAUUUUCUUCAUGCUAUUCAAAUAUGGUCCUUUGAUUCAAAUGUAUGGACUAUGGUACUUUGAUUGCUGCUAUUAAGAUGCUGUUGCAUCAAGAUUGAGAGUGUGUUUUUCAAGAUUGAGAUGUUGCUUGUGUAUGUCAUAGGAGUGUCUCUUGUUAGAAGUUAGUUUGCCUCUUUUCUUUGCUUUGUUUCCUUUUCUAUCUCUUUUAAAUACUCUUUUGUUAUGAUAGCUAUAUAUUUUUAUAGUCUCUUUUUUUUUUUUU